GGUACAGUGGUCUAAUGGUAUGACACCCGCUAUGUAGGUACCUGCCAAUCUCAGGCAGAGGGUGGGCGAUCUGGGUUCAAUCCCCAGCUGAGCCA
rnacentral:tRNA from 1 species